rnacentral:lncRNA from 1 species
GCAUCGUGAUCUCGGGUGAGAGCGGCUCCGGCAAGACCCAGAGCACCAACUUCCUCAUCCACUGCCUCACCGCCCUCAGCCAGAAGGGCUACGCCAGCGGCGUCGAGAGGACCAUCCUGGGUGCUGGCCCUGUGCUGGAGCUUUUGGAAAUGCCAAGACAGCCCACAACAACAACUCCAGCCGGUUUGGGAAAUUCAUCCAAGUCAGCUACCUAGAGAGUGGCAUCGUGAGAGGGCUGUCGUCGAGAAAUAUCUGCUUGAAAAG